CAAAAAAGCCUACUUUAAAGUUUUGUAAAUCCAUUAUUUCCUUUGAGUUUGCCGUGGAGUGCUUACAAUUCUCAAAGGCGUCAACAAGUCCCGGAGGAGAUUGACAAGGAAUUCUUGUUGUAAAGAGCGAAGGCAUGGUUUGGUUUGCAUGACAUUAUCUUCAAUUGGCUGGAGAUAGAUAAAUGUUGAUACUUGAUUUUCUCACCUGGCAUCUUAUCACUUCUGUGAAAGACACUUCAUUUUCUCAUAGUAAUAGUUCUUUAUUAUUGUUGAUACAUAAAUGGAUCUUUAUUGAAUGGUACUUGUAUGUGUGUAUGGAGAAUGGUGAUAAACCUUUUAAAUAAUCUAUUAUCCAAAAAGGUGAUUCUAAUUUCUGAUUAGAUUAUACUAUAACAAUAUGAUU